rnacentral:lncRNA from 1 species
AGAUUCUAUCUAGAGAAUCUUCUUCAACUCAACUCAUAUAUAUAUAUGUAAAUUGAACUUCAACUUAUAGCGGUGCAAGUGACGGUGAAGGCCAGAAAGCAUCAUCGGUGGCGUCUCGGAGGAUUCCGCCGGCGUCUUCUAUGCUGUGGGUCCGUAACCUCUGCCUACAUCGGUCUUGUCAUGGGAAAAUAUAGCUUGAAUCAAGCUUUUACGAGCUUAGGAACAAACCGAAGUUGAAGUGAAUGAUCUCUAAUUAAUCGUCACACAAUAUCUGCAAUCCAGGGGUGCUAAGUGUAUCCAGUUUUGUAUAAAAAAAAACCGACCCGACCCGCCCUGACCCGAAACCCGUUCCAACCCGGACCUGUUCCGACCCGACCCAAUCCGACCCAUUUGCCAGGUCUAUUAAUAACGGUGUCACGAUUGGGGUGGUGGUGGUGGUGGAUGGGAAUGUGGUUAGUGGUUUGAAAGCUUUGUAUGCAGUGGAGUUAAAGGAUAAUGGGGUUGGCACUAGGGGUUGUACCGAUUGGCAUCGCGGCGGGAUUUAUUUACAUCAUUGAAAAGGAUUUUUCAAGUACCUGGUGUGGGAAAUGUUGUAUAACAAACAGCCUGGUGAUGCAGCCAAUCCCACUGAGAUAAAUGUUAUUGAUAGGCAGAUUUGGCACGACACGAGAGAGGCUCCGGAUAAUGAUAUACAUGUUUUGUUGAUGACGUUGAUGCGGAAGUUUUUUAGCGAGUUAGGUAUUUCGUUAGUUUAGCUUUAUAUGUAGUUUAUUUAUACAAUUA